rnacentral:rRNA from 1 species
GACGAACGCUGUCGGCGCGCCUAACACAUGCAAGUCGAACGGAGUUGCUGAAGCUGAAUUUUUCGGAAGGACGCAUUAGUAACUUAGUGGCGGACGGGUGAGUAACGCGUGAGUAACCUGCCUUUCAGAGGGGGAUAACGUUUGGAAACGAACGCUAAUACCGCAUAACAUAACGAGGUCGCAUGGCUUUGUUAUCAAAGGAGCAAUCCGCUGGAAAAUGGACUCGCGUCCAAUUAGCUAGUUGGUGAGGUAAAGGCCCACCAAGGCGACGAUUGGUAGCCGGACUGAGAGGUUAAACCCUUAUCUACG